AAACGAGAGACAAGGAGAGGCCACGCUGUCGCUCAUCCUCGGCCACUGCUUCCCAAGCUAAAGUACACUCCUCAAGUCUCCAUCUCCACGCUCAGCUCGUUCGCCAUGGUGUUUGCAGCUUGAAUCCUCACCAUCGCUUGAUCGAUAGGAGCCGACUCUCCACCGAAGAUGGCGGCGACGGGCUCUGCUUCUCCUCUCUCCCUCGCCUUCUCUUCCGCUUCCUAUCCACGCGCGAGCUCCCGGAACCUCCUCUCCUUCCGACACGCCCUCCUCCGCCUCGCUUCCUCUGAAGACGGCGCCGCCGCCGCCGACUCCCGACCUCCUCCGCUCCGCGUCUCGGCGAGCUCCAACCCUAAGGCCCGGCUCGUCGCCCGGAGGAAAGAGUCCGUCUCCGUCAGGCAGCUGGACCGGCCUCUGAGUGAGUACAUGAGCUUGCCGGCGAGUCAGUACUCGGUGUUGGACGCGGAGAGAAUCGAGAGAGUGGAUGACAGCACGUUCCGGUGCUAUGUGCAUAGGUUCAAGUUCUUUGCGUUUGAGGUGUGCCCUGUUUUGCUGGUUAGGGUGGAAGAGCAGCCCAAUGGCUGUUGCAUUAAGCUAUUGUCGUGCAAGCUUGAGGGCUCGCCGAUUAUUGCUGCUCAGAAUGAUAAAUUCGACGCUUCUAUGGUGAACCGAAUAUCAUGUGAAAGCAAUCAAAGGACGUCAUCACUGCAACAACUCACUUCAGACACAACUAUUGAGGUCAGCAUUGACAUUCCUUUUGCUUUUCAAGCUAUUCCAGUGCAAGCCAUUGAAUCAAGUGGCACUCAAAUUCUUGAGCAAAUACUCAGGAUCAUGCUUCCACGCUUUAUGACCCAGAUUAAGGACUCUUUAUUCUUCCAUGGAAACAGAAGAGGAGCUUAAAGUUACACUACUCAGAGAGUGAACAGUAGUUAUAUGCUCUUAACUAAUCUUUGCUUUUAGACUAGUCUUUAGAUUCGCUUCAACCCUAGUCCUGGACUGAACUGGUAUAAAAAAGCUACAGUAUGAGGAGUCCAAAUUUGCCAGGAUCUAGAAGUUAAAUUCUUGUGAAAGAUUAUCAAGCCUGGGCUUCUGGUGACACCUCAAGGCAGCCUCUUGGAACGGGUAAAAUCUGAAUGGUAGAAGGCUGCAGAUGCACAUGCUACUGUUUCUAUUGAUAACUUGGCUGCUUAUGUGAGUCAAGCCCACAAUGCCAGUCCUGUAGGAUCCAACAGUUGCUCUGGUUUAGCAUAUGCAAUUUUUUUUGUUAGUUCGUAGGCUAGCCAUCGAAGUAAGUGCAAGCAACUCUUUUAUACAGUGUUGUUCUAGUUUUUCUUUGGUCAUUCACGUGGAUUAUGCUUCACUUUUUCCGUAGAAUGCUUUCAUUGAAACUGCAGUAUGUUGCAAAAGCCGUUUGAAUUAGGCCCUCUGUAGUUGCACUUGUAUCUCAUCUCCGGUUUCUUUUACUGCAUUUGGUUAUUCAAUUGGAUAAGUUAAUUGAGUUUUCUUGCACUUAGAUUGACAAAGGACUAAAAUAUGGCAUGAUGGACGUAAUUUAUUACCCUACAACUGCCUCAAAGGAGACAAAAGGCAAAUUGUAUCUUAAUUAUCUUUGCGGAUAUAGCAUUCUACAUCACUUCAUGCAUUUUAAAUUUAACUUUGGAAGGAAAAUGAGUUGAGUUCUUAUUCCUAAAGUUUAUUUCUGA